UUUUAUUGUAAAGCGCCUGGACUAAGCAGGAGCGGACAUCUGCUUAGUUGACGAGGAGGAGGUUUAUCGAAGUUUCGGCGGAUGCCUCCCGGUUGCCUUCCCGUACAGCCGUAAAGUCACGUCUUAAAACAAAGAGGCGACUCUUUGCACAAAAAGACUGUGACAUAACGGGAU
rnacentral:ncRNA from 1 species